CCUAAAAUAUUAUAUUACAAUUCUGUUAAGGACUAAUGAUUAAUAGACGCUUAAGACGUAAGUGUUAGCUACGUUAAUUUAAUAUAUACCUACAAGUAUUUAUUAUAAAGUUGUCAGGAAAAUACGUUCGUUUUUAUGAGAAACUGUUUUUUUUUUUUCUUAGAACCUAUAUUAGGUGUCUAUUUGAUAAUUCUUAUUGCUAAACUAUAUUAUGCGCUACUUUUUAUCACGGAACGGACUUAAAGUUAUAAAUACUACGAUUCCACUAUAGUAGCAUAGGCAUAGCUCGAGGGGGCCUGAAUGGGCCAGGCCAGAAUAACCUAGCGUAACUUUUACUUACUAAUACAUAACACCAAAACAAUGAUCAAAUCUGCAAUAUAAAGACACUUUUUUUAGUUUGGGGCACAGGCUCCCCUGUAAAAUAAUUUUAGCUACGCCCAUAUAAUAUAGUAGUGACGUAUUUGAAAUGGGCGGUGACCCGUCAUGCAGUGAUCCGGUUCAGAGUCACCCGUGAUGGAUGCCCUCCACAAAAAAGGUAAAUUGCCAGCUAAACUUAGUAACAAACAAAUAUACGAAAACAAUAUUCAAUUUAAAUAUGACACAAAAACAGGAAACGGAGAGGAUAUUACAUUACUUGGGUUUUAAUAAUUUCUUAUUAGGCCAUAGGUAUGCAAAAUUAAAUGAAGUAAGUAAGUACCUUUUGAUUAGCAGUGGAUUUUGGAGUUCGUAAGAUUUAUUUUUUGUUUAUUUUUUUGUUUAAAGCAUGUGCGUGUAGCUUUUAACGUACAAAAAAAAAUAUAAAUAAAUAAUAACUUUAGUUACACAUUAAGCCUUGACUUCAUUUACUUAAUUAUAAUACAUAAUUAAUUUCAAAGUGACUUCGCAGAGUAGCCUUUGCAACGUUAAAAAAAGUUGCCGCGUCAGUUUGCGUGGCUCCAUUGUGAAUAUGUGUCAUUUGAUAUCCAAUAUAUUAGACAAAAGUCUUAUAUAAGUUAGGUAGUAGAUACAGAAAUGAUGGCCUCAGGCUGCCGCUGACGCUGAGAGCAUCCUCGGUUGCACGGGCAUGCACUAGACGGCACCACGCAGGGGCGGUUGCGGUCGAAGAUUAGACACUUCCAUCAAAGAAAGCCCGUAGCCGUCCCUAAUGCGCCGAAGAGCGCAAUCGCUAUAUAAGUUAGGGAAUUAGCCCGGUGGUCGCCCGAAGGUCAACAAAUCCGGGCGGCUCAACGCCAGAUUGUAAGGCACGGUGACCCCAACAUAAUCGCUCAAUCGCCCCCCCACGAAGGCUGGACGGUAGUAAUAAGAUACUUUCUCCACGAAAUCGAAAAAAGAGGUAUUACAGAAAUGAUAGAAUUGACAAUUUACUUCAUACAAUCCCUCAUUAAAUUGGAAAAAUCUGUAAGUAUUAUUACUUUUUGCUUUGCGUUCAUCCAAACCAUUGUACAUAGAUUGAAGUAUCAUGAAUAUUUUAGUUCAGUACACAUACUUAAUUAUCACCGAUUUGCUUAAAGGUAACUAUAACAUCACGUCGUUGUACCAGCAUCGAGCCAGGGCUGAGAACCGCCACGUUCUGAAUUUGUUUCCCAGGCCGAGCAACCAAAAGGCGAAUGAAUUUUUCAUUUAGGAAAACACAUAUUGUGUUAAGUAUAAGUAUUGUAAGUGUAUCCAUAUGUUUAAUAAUGUUAUAUGUCUGUACUUAAUAAUUAACAUACCUGGGCAUUGUUCCGAAGGCGUUACAUUGGAUUCGGAAAAUACGAACGUCACUCCUAAUGUUAUCAUAAAUGUGAAAGUAAAGCAGAAAAAUGAAUUCA